UAUAUUAUAUCACACAUAUGUUCUGUAAUACAAGGUACUCCGCAGAACUACAGUAUUUGAAGACACAAAUACUAAAACUAACAAGUUCUAAAACAGAUUAAUGCUACUAAAUAGCACUGUUAACAGGACAAAUUUACAAAAUCUCCGAAACUGAAGGAUGAUGUUCAAAUAUUGGCUUGGACCACUGAAUAAGCCUGCUUUGCUAAUUCUAGCAACCGCAAGGACCUUAGUGCAAAGAGGCGAAGAGAUAAGGCUUAUCUUCUUCCUCUGAGCGGUUGCCAAUUGAGAGAAAUCCCAAAGGCUGCUCCGCUCACCUCCACUUAGAGAAAGUACAGUAAGGUACAGUGAGCAGGCUGUAAGGAUUAAAAUACUAUAUUUUUGCUGAGUUGGAUGAGAGAGAAGAGGAGAGAUAAGGGAAGCGCGCUCUUCGUGAAGAGCUAGCUCUAGCACGUACUCCUAGGUGCUUUGUGAGAAUGAAAGGUGGGCCAUAUGAUAGAAGUAGUACUUUUUUAUAACUAACUAUUGUACAAACUAGCUAUAAGAUGCUUAUAGCCAGCAGUUUGCUAUAGUAUUAACCAUGCUCUUAGAGGAGUCACGGCCUUAGCCGUGCGCCAAUGCCACGUGGCCGGGCGGAUGGAGUGAGCACCGACGCGCCUCGCAUUGGAGGCCGUGAAGGCACCGCGAGAAGGGCUUGUGUGCCGUGGUGGCGCUCCGUCAGUGAGAGGAGCGACGUCUCACGCCCCUCAGGGGCCGGAGAGCCAGCCAAGGGCCUUCGCCUCGGGCUCCACCAACGUGCGUGGAUGCGAGCCGAGGGCCGCUCCGCGUCAGUUGCCAGGAAGGCCCUGCCGAGGAGCCGUAGCGGGGCCGUGAGGACGUGGCCGCGGGCAGCCAUAGGCGGCCGCUACUGCCGUGCGCCAGGGCCCGCAUAGGGUAGCCAAGCGAGAGGGGGAUGCGCAAGAGAAGGCGGCAUCUCCUGCGAUGCGAGUGGCCGAGCCGUGUCGGUACGCUGUGUCGUGUGUAAAACGACGAGGACGAACGACCUCCUGAAGGAUAUCGAGGAGAAGUGGCGUAAGGACCGUACCUUUCCUAUUCUUCUCUUCUAUUUUUUGCUAUUGGUGGAGGCCAAAGCCUGAUUUUCCUCCUUCCCAGUUCUUCAAUUCAUGGCGUGUGUCUCAUCCUGCCAAUCUUAUUCUAAUUAAGAUGCAUACACGCCGAUCCCUUUUCCAUGAACGGACUGCUUCAUCGUCUUCUUUCUUUUAUCUGAUCUGGGCAGCAGGCUCCAAUGCCGUAGAUGGGUGGAGCCUCGCCAGGCGCAAAGACGGGGCCGCCGAGCAUUCUGUGGUGCCACAAACAUGCGUCGGCCACAGCCUUGCCUCCCUCCCUCGCUUUCUUUUGGCCAAAUCGCUCUCUGCCGGAGCCCGUUCCGGCGAUUGUCGGCAUUUUUUGUUCUCGAUAGAGGCAGUGCUGAUAACGUGUUAGAUCGGAAAGUAAUUGAGAGAAUGAAUGAGUAAUCUUUAUUGAUCGUUUUGGAUCCUUUAUAUACAACAUUUACACAA